AGAAAUAGAGGAAAUUGGUGUUGGGAUUUAAUAAUUCUGUCUUCUGAAGAGGCAAGAAUUCUUUGUUCUCGGAACUCUCCUCCAAAUUUGUAUAUAUUUGGCUGGCGCAGUACUGAACUGUUAAAGAAAGACAACAACGACCUUUCCACCUCUAAGACAACAACUACAUUUCCAUUUAUUUGCUCUUCACACCAAAAGUCAGAAACACAAAGAAAACCAAUCCAUUCCAAUCCAAAUAUCAGAAUUCAAACCCAGAAUUGAGUCUUGGUAGCAACUGAACAGAAAACCAUGACAAAGAAAGCAGUGUUGAUAGGCU
rnacentral:lncRNA from 1 species